rnacentral:rRNA from 1 species
CAAAAGUACAACCCUGAACGGUGGAUCACUCGGCUCGUGGGUCGAUGAAGAACGCAGCAAAUUGCGCGUCCACAUGUGAACUGCAGGACACAUGAACAUCGACAUUUCGAACGCACAUUGCGGUCCAUGGAUUCCGUUCCCGGACCACGCCUGGCUGAGGGUCGGUAGCUAAAA